rnacentral:rRNA from 1 species
GACGAACGCUGGCGGCGUGCUUAACACAUGCAAGUCGAACGGAAAGGCCCUGCUUGCAGGGUACUCGAGUGGCGAACGGGUGAGUAACACGUGGGUGAUCUGCCCUGCACUUCGGGAUAAGCCUGGGAAACUGGGUCUAAUACCGGAUAGGAGCCAUUUUUAGUGUGAUGGUUGGAAAGUUUUUUCGGUGUAGGAUGAGCUCGCGGCCUAUCAGCUUGUUGGUGGGGUAAUGGCCUACCAAGGCGGCGACGGGUAGCCGGCCUGAGAGGGUGGACGGCCAGGUGCGGGAUGGGAGACGGCGUAGAGAGGGAGGGGGGGCGGCGGGUGGGACAGUGAAGCACGCGAAGCAGGCGGGGUGCAGCGACGGCGGGGGGGGGAGGACGGCCGUCGGGUUGUAUACUCCCGGCGGUGGGGAGAAGGCUUUUGGUGACGGAACAUAGACAAGAAGCACCGGCAAAGCACGGGCCAGAAGCCGCGGUAAUAAGCGGAAGAGCACACGGCUGAAC